rnacentral:rRNA from 1 species
UACGAAGGGGGCUAGCGUUGCUCGGAAUCACUGGGCGUAAAGCGCACGUAGGCGGCUUUUUAAGUCAGAGGUGAAAUCCUGGAGCUCAACUCCAGAACUGCCUUUGAUACUGGAGAGCUUGAGUCCGGGAGAGGUGAGUGGAACUGCGAGUGUAGAGGUGAAAUUCGUAGAUAUUCGCAAGAACACCAGUGGCGAAGGCGGCUCACUGGCCCGGUACUGACGCUGAGGUGCGAAAGCGUGGGGAGCAAACAGG